rnacentral:tRNA from 1 species
GCAGUUAUAGCUUAGUAGCAGGGUGCGUGCUUAGCAUGCAUGAGGUCCUGGGUUCAAUUCCCAGUCCCUCCA